GACGAACCGUGCGAACGUUGUUCGGAAUCACUGGGCUUAAAGGGCGCGUAGGCGGGCUGACAAGUCUGGGGUGAAAUGCCGCGGCUCAACCGUGGAACUGCCUCAGAUACUGUCGGCCUCGAGGAAGGUAGGGGCAUGCGGAACUGUAGGUGGAGCGGUGAAAUGCGUUGAUAUCUACAGGAACUCCGGUGGCGAAAGCGGCGUGCUGGACCUUUUCUGACGCUGAGGCGCGAAAGCUAGGGGAGCA
rnacentral:rRNA from 1 species